UCUCCUCAACUGCGUCUCCCUCAUUCCCUCCCUCCUCCCUCUCUUAAUCUCUCUCCUCUCACUGGCAGCCGGUGAGAAAACAACUGUCACGCAAGAAGCAGCGCGGCCUCAAUCUCUCUCCUCUCACGACGAAUUUCGCUGAUUGCAGGUUUAGGUUGUUUAAAUUGGGGGUUUUUGGAAAUAAGGUUGAUAAACUUGGGAUUUUGUAGUUGAGAAUUGGACACGGGCCACGGAGCGCCAGAGACACAACCACUGUUUCUGGUCCACCGAGAUUGUGGCGCGCGUGGCAUCGGAAUCCGACCGGGGGCAACAGGAGCAUCGGGAGAUUGAUGUUGUGUAAUUGCACUAUGAAGGUGGAUCAUGCUUCUGUAUUGGUACGGUAUGAAGAGGACUAGUGUCCUUGCGGUUGUGAUUUAGACGAGAUUUCUCUUUUGCAAAUACAUUUAGGGGCGUGUAAGAUGAUUCCUAUCCAGCUGUUGGAAAAUUAUGUCCUUCAUCAGGAUAUCUGCCUGAUUGAUGAACUCUUGGGGGCAGUUGCUUGGUUGUACCGAGCUGCUAAUAUCGAGGAAAUACAAACAUAUGAAGGAGAGUAAUAGCAUGCUAUAUUAUUUGAUUACUUAAAGGUUGAUUAUUGGAAGCGGAAGAAGAGAAUGACAUUGUAUUUUCAGAUUUAUACUUGUAAAUGGGAUUUUUUUUCAUCUUAAUCAUUAGUCAUUUAUUUAUUUUGAUGCUAAGUCAUGUCGUUCGACAAUGACAUUUUUG